rnacentral:lncRNA from 1 species
CCUGGAUGCCAAUUUUUUACACGUAAGAAAGGUUUCUGCGUGAGAUUAUUUCAUGCCUUCAUCCCUUCACCCACGCCCCCUUAUCCAUGCUAACACCCUCUUCUCAUUGCUCCUCAUGGUUGGAUAAAGAAGUUUUAAAUUUGAUUUAAAACUAUCCUUAUUAAGAAGAGGUUGUUUCCAUCUUAACCAAAAUAUAUUUGAUGCCUACCUUAAAAAGGGAUCGAUUUUUGCAUUGAGAAAAAGAUCUCCCU